AUGUUCCCAUGCCUCCCAAACUUCCAAACAUGCAUUCAACUUACUCAAAACAUGCAUAAACUCUUACAUCAACACAUUGGGGUCUCAAACUAUCCUAAACCCCAACUAAAACUCAUCAAACAUUCAUAUAUAACACACAUUAUCCAUAAACAUAACAUAAAACCUAACAAUGCUCAACUAACCUAAACAUGCAUUUCUACCCCAUGAAUCAACUUAAACUUGUUUAAAAACAUAAAACGAG
rnacentral:lncRNA from 1 species